rnacentral:lncRNA from 1 species
AAUUUUAGCUGUUUUAUGCUCAAAGUUCGGAGUGCAGACAAGUUCACUGUCGGCGCUGCCUGUCUGACAAACACAGAGACAGAUACCAAGCGUGUGGAUGCUGCCACGCUCGGAGCAGCAUUCUUACAAGCAUGACAAGAGCCUGGCUCAACAGGAUCUCCUUGACUUUGUCCAUCUUGCUGCUGCCGUGUAUCCAUGGAGAUGCUCAGACAAAGACCGAUGUAUGUACAGUCCGAACACCUGUAAGAGCGAGGAAUGUUUUUGCACUGGAACCACUGAAAAUUCACUGUGAAAUACAAUUCUGCGAGAUGAAAUUCAACGUGUCCUGGUGUAAAAUCGAUGAUACAAAUGACUGCAGGAAUAUUGAUGAAACACCUCACAUCAGAACCCUUCUGAAAACCACUCCAGAGGACAUCAAUGUGCACCUGUCAUACCUACACUUCACUCAGACUUCACGGAGUGAUUCUGGUCAAUACAGGUGUAAAAUUUCAGGGAGCAUAACAUCGGUGAGCCACUCCAUUCAUGUCAAUGUCACAGAUGCACCAAGUGACAGGAACAUCAGCUCUGCAAUUAACACAACAAAUGCUCCUGUCAACGAUUUACAGCCAGGACUGCAGGCCAAGCUGCCGUAUAUUUACUUUUUAGCUGGCAUCAUAACAAUCCUUAUCAUAGUGAUUGGGAUCUCUGUAUUUAUUAUGCGAAGAUGCGAAGGAUCGCAGAAAAGAGAAAAAGCUGAAAACUCCCAGAAUCAGUUGCGCUUACAGUCCAGCACACCAGAGAAUUCCUGCCAAGCCACACUCGGCCCUGAAUCCCUCAUGCGGCCGAAGAGCGUGUGCGUCCACCCAGCUCCGCACUUGGACCAUGCAAGUGGCGUUUAUGACAACGUUCCUACGACGACAACGUCCCAGUUGAAGUCCACCAAGGCCUCUGUGAGAGCGCCGCUCACUAGGCGGGAGACACCUAACGUGACGUCCGCCGUGAUACUCGCAGAGAGUAUCUAUGACAACGAUGGGGCCGAUGAGAAGGGCGAGGAAAGCUGCCUCGUGUACGCCGCUCUCAACCAUAAGGCUGUCCGGGAGGGUCACAGCCCCAUACACUCCUCCAUUUUUGAGGAAGACCUCUCAGAAUACGCUCCCAUUCGGGUCUCCUGAACCUAGAGCGAGUCCAUGGCUCAGGUUGCGAAGAAAGCGAUACCUGGGAACUUUGGGUAUAUACUGUACUCCAUGAAUCUUUAGCGCAUACUACAUGUACUGGUGAGGGAAGUCUUCCUCUCGAAAUUCCUUUUCAUUUCGUUCCUGACUGGACACUUUCUUGGCUAUCAUUCUCAGGGACUGGUUGCUGAAAGAAUGUUUUUUUUGUGGGAAAGCCCUUUCAAUCUAUCAUGAUUUGUCAUGGGUUUUAUUUCUACUGACUGUUAUUGCAGUCGUUGCGAUAAAGCAUUUUACCCAACGCUGUUCACGAAACGCAGUUGAAUGUCAGCGGAAAAUGUGAAAUGUGUUCCUGCCUCAUGGUACUCGACCCUCACGGCAGGCAUCCGGAGAUUCAACGUGAACGUGCCCAUUCAGAUAAACAUAGUUACAUAUGUCACCUGUGCGGAAGGUGUUUUUCUUUUAGGGAAACACGGGUAUGUUCACAGAAACAAUAAAGUCUCUAGUCAAACUAUGCCA